GGACCCGCACAAGUAGUGGAGCAUGUGGUUUAAUUCGAAGAUACGCGCAGAACCUUACCAACACUUGACAUGUUCGUCGCGACUCUAAGAGAUUAGAGUUUUCGGUUCGGCCGGACGAAACACAGGUGCUGCAUGGCUGUCGUCAGCUCGUGUCGUGAGAUGUUGGGUUAAGUCCCGCAACGAGCGCAACCCUCACUUUUAGUUGCCAUCAUUAAGUUGGGCACUCUGAAAGAACUGCCAGUGAUAAGCUGGAGGAAGGUGGGGAUGACGUCAAGUCCUCAUGGCCCUUACGUGUUGGGCUACACACGUGCUACAAUGGUAUCUACAACAGGAAGCAAGACUGCGAAGUUAAGCAAAUCCCUAAAAGCUAUCUCAGUUCGGAUUGCAGGCUGCAACUCGCCUGCAUGAAGCCGGAAUCGCUAGUAA
rnacentral:rRNA from 1 species